UAUACAAUUUAGCCCUGGUUGAAGUUGAAAUAUAUCUAAUGAUGCUAUAUACGUUUAUUAUAUUAUGCUAGUCCUUGAGCAUAUAAAUUUGAGGUGGUUGUAGUAGUGAGAUCUAUCGUUAUAAAGAAAUUUAGUGAUGGUUGUUAGAUAAUAGAAGAGGCUAAAGCACAGUGCCAGCAGCCGCGGUUAUACUGUAAUUCUUCUUAUUUCUUUUUUGGUUAAAACUUUUAUUGAAAUUUAAAUAAAAUUGGUUGGUUAAAUAGGUUUUUUUUUGAGAAUACUUCAAUGAUGUGUAAAGUUCCAGUAUAAAGACAGGGAUUAGAUACCCCUUUAUUAGGAUAAAAAAUUUUUGUCCACGGUUUCAAACUGAAAGGGUUUGGCAGCAAACUAAAUUCUUCCGGGGGAAGGUGCUUAUUAAAGAGAUGAUCCGCUUAUUAAUUUACUAUAUCUAGUGUUAGUGUAUAUCCGUUUGUAUAUUCACGCUUAGAGGUCAUAAGUGGGUAAAUAUUAAAUAAUU
rnacentral:rRNA from 1 species